rnacentral:rRNA from 1 species
UGGGGAAUCUUGCACAAUGGGCGCAAGCCUGAUGCAGCCAUGCCGCGUGUGUGAAGAAGGCCUUCGGGUUGUAAAGCACUUUCAGCGGGGAGGAAGGCGUUAAGGUUAAUAACCUUGGCGAUUGACGUUACCCGCAGAAGAAGCACCGGCUAACUCCGUGCCAGCAGCCGCGGUAAUACGGAGGGUGCAAGCGUUAAUCGGAAUUACUGGGCGUAAAGCGCACGCAGGCGGUCUGUCAAGUCGGAUGUGAAAUCCCCGGGCUCAACCUGGGAACUGCAUUGGAAACUGGCAGGCUAGAGUCUUGUAGAGGGGGGUAGAAUUACAAGUGUAGCGGUGAAAUGCGUAGAAAUCUGGAGGAAUACCGGUGGCGGAGGCGGCCCCCUGGACAAAGACUGACGCUCAGGUGCGAAAGCGUGGGGAGCAAACAGG